GAUGAAGAACGCAGCGAAAUGCGAUAAGUAGUGUGAAUUGCAGAAUUCAGUGAAUCAUCGAAUCUUUGAACGCACCUUGCGCCCUUUGGCCAUUCCGAAGGGCAUGCCUGUUUGAGUAUCAUGAACACCUCAACUCCUCAUGGUCUUCUAUGAUGAGCUUGGACUUUGGGGGCUUGCUGGCCCAUUUGGUCAGCUCCUCUCAAAUGAAUCAGCCUACCAGUGUUUGGUGGCACCACAGGUGUGAUAACAAUCUACGCUUGAGGUUUUCCACCAGGCAACCUUCAGUAAUUGGGGUUCACUGGGGCUCACAAAUGUCUUUCUUCAGUGAGGACAGCUCUUUGAAUGUUUGAUCUCAAAUCAGGUAGGACUACCCGCUGAACUUAAGCAUAUCAAUAAGCGGAGGA
rnacentral:misc_RNA from 1 species